rnacentral:rRNA from 2 species
UUGACCUCGAAUCAGGUGGGA